AGAACGAACGCUGGCGGCAUGCCUAACACAUGCAAGUCGAACGCUUCCGGGGCUUCGGUCGCGGAGGAGUGGCGCACGGGUGAGUAGCGCGUGGGAACCUGCCCUGUUGUGGGGGAUAACCGAGGGAAACUUCGGCUAAUACCGCAUACGCCCCGGGACUUGGUCUUCGGAUUAGGUCUGGGGGGAAAGAUUGAUCGCAGCAGGAGGGGCCCGCGUCGGAUUAGCUGGUUGGUGGGGUAACGGCUCACCAAGGCGAUGAUCCGUAGCUGGUCUGAGAGGAUGAUCAGCCACACUGGGACUGAGACACGGCCCAGACUCCUACGGGAGGCAGCAGUGAGGAAUAUUGGACAAUGGGGGCAACCCUGAUCCAGCAAUGCCGCGUGAGUGAUGAAGGCCUUAGGGUUGUAAAGCUCUUUCGCCCGCGACGAUGAUGACGGUAGCGGGAGAAGAGCCCCGGCUAACUUCGCGCCAGCAGCCGCGGU
rnacentral:rRNA from 1 species